UUUUGUAAUAAGAAUUCUACCUAAGAAAUUCUUAAGUUGGAAACCACUUCAACACGAGUACAUAACAGAGUUCAGUCAUAAUUUUUCAUUGAGAAUUCUAGCAAGAAAUUCAAAUAUCAUAACCAUUCUCGCCAAUCUUGGCACGUUUUGUGAAAACUGAAGGAUAACUGUGCCAGAGAUUGGGGCUCAAGUUUCCAAAUUAUACUCGAAUGUAGUUUUACACCACCUCACAAUGUUGUUUGUAUGAACAAAAAGUGGUACACGGUUACUAGACAUUCCAAAUUCAAACACUGCAAACAAACGCAACUCUUUUAUUCUUUACUAUCAAAAUACAUGGGCAUUCUAAGAUGAAGAAAGGACUCCUCAGAGGCUACUAGUCUCCAACACACUACAAGCUAAGCGGCUUCCUUAGAGGUCUUCAGGGCCAUUAAUAUCCUUGUUCUCCAUUACAGCUCCAUCAGGUAUUUCCAAUUUCACACCAGGUUUUGCUGCAAUGCUUACUUUACCCUUGAGAGUGACACCAGUACCAAACCAUACAUCACCAGUCACCUUAAGGCUAUCAAGCUCAACAAUACUAGGGAUUGACUUAAAUCGACUCAAGAAGUUGGCAACCUUCUUGAAUUCUGGACCCAGUUCAAUAGAAGGAUUUGCAGGAUUUUUCCUAGCUUUAUUUUGGAUAACGUAGCCAUCCACCAAGGUGUAAAGAUCAGACUGGACAAGAAGCAAAUCUGAAGUUGCCUUCACUGGAAGGAAUCGAGAUCGAGGAACAUUUAUACCAAUUGCACGGUCAAAGAACUGGUUGACGAGAUAGAAACAACCAUAUCAAAAAUAAAAAGAGAAAAAGAAUCCAGCUUCAAAGCUUACUAUAUAUAUAUAUAUAUAAUGUGUUAUGAAUACCCUAAUAGCUGCACCAGCUGCAGUUUCUAGCUGAAGAACUUUGACUCCAUCUACUUCCUGAAAACAAUAUCUAUUUGAUCAACAAUUUGGCCAUCUAAAAAAUGAACUAGAGCAUCAAAUCAUAUAAAAAGAAUAAGGAAAUGGAACAAGACAGAGAGACACCUUUGGGUUAGGAAUUAUCUCCAUCUUCAGUGCAUCAGCCGCAACAAGCCUUUUAAUAGCUGACAAGCUCACCCACAAAUUGUUUGUGUUGAAAAUUUUAAACUUCUCUAUUGACUUGAACUCAUUGACCUGUUUCAAACAAAAUUCAAUCCAUAAACUUCGAAAACAUACUCUACUAAAACACAAUGACAGCAUGGCAAUCCCUAGUGAGGUCAAGGCACUCUGUCUUCUAAAUUAGUGUCAUUUGCCCUUAUUCACAGACUAAAGUGGAUAAUCUAACUAAAGGCACAACUAGAUCUCCAUUAAAAAGUUCGAGAAGAAAACUUGAAAAGGAACAAACAUCUACAAAAACAUAAGGACAACAUCAUGGCUUACAUGCUUAUCAGGGACUUGUGCAAUCUCCAAUAGCUGCAUCACAUAAUAAAGGUAACAAGAUUAGUCAAUCAAAGGUUAUUUUCUUCUUCUUCUUUAGAGGUGGUUCUGAGGGGGUACAAAAAAAGAGUGGCUUUCAUUAAAGCAAGAAGGGAGAAGUAAAAAAGAAUUUCCAGGACACAUCAAAUCAAGAAUAUGCAAUUGAAAAGUCAAGAACUUUGUAAAGUAAAUUAGUAUUUCUGACACUGAUGUUUGAUUAACAAUGCUUAGUGUACCAUGAUCUGAUAUUUUGAGAAUCUACGCUCAUUGCCGUCAAAAGGAAACUAUGUUGCAGCAUACAUACCUGAACUUUCCCUUCAUAAGAGAUGAGAGUACCACCCUUUACAUCAGCCAGGGUUUUGGGUGUCACCUCCAUGCAGUACUCAUUCUUGUUUUUUAUCAGAUGACUUAAGAUUUUCAAAUCAACAAUGGCACCCAGGUUAUCCGAGUUGGCAAUAAACACAUACUCCUUGCCCUGUAGUAACAAAGAAUCAAGCUUUCCACUGUUCUUCAAAGAUGGGAACACAUCACCAUGUCCAGGAGGAUACCAUCCAUCCUUGCCAGUCUGCCCUUUGCUUGGCAAUGGAGUAAAAUCCUCAAGAACCAGACGAGGAUAUUGACUCUGAUUAAAAGUAUGAAUCUCGACGUUUGAUUUUGAGUACUUCUCUAUAAUCUUCUGUGUAUCAUCAUGAGUGUUGAAGGAGUUCAUUAGAAGCAAGGGAACGUUGCACCCAUAUUUGGAAUUGAGAUUCUCAAUCUGGAUGACAAUAAGGUCGAGGAAUGUCAAUCCAUUACGAACUUCAAUGACAGACUUGGGUCCAGUGCAACCCAUUGUUGUCCCCAAUCCUCCAUUAAGCUUCAGAACAACGAGUUUGUCCAAAAGCUUCUUAGUUUCAGCUGGAUCUUCAGGAAUGGGCGCCAAGCUAUCAUAAGGAACCACUACUUCAUCAGUAGGUGUUUGAAUCUUGCUCCACUCCACUUGUUGGGCUUCCCCACUAAGAUAUCGAGAGACCAGGCUUAUGAAUCCAUUUUUCUCACUCUCGCUGAUUUGAUUGAGUCCAGCAACAGCAGACUUGAGGGGAGUGAGCUUAUCGGUGGCAACGGCCAUCGGUGAGUUGGAUUAGAGCUCCGAUCUGGAAAAAGCAGAAAUUAUCCUUGAUUCAAAACAGUAGAAGUAAAUGAUGGAAGAAAGAGACAAAAAUGGAGAUGGGAAAUGGGAAUCUAAUCGCAAGGAGAGAUCAGGGAUUGGAAUGGAAUUGGAUCAUGGGAUUUUAUUUUAUAAAGAAACUGUUGUUGUAGAUUUGUGAGUGAGCAAGGGAAAGAGAGAAUAUGCAAAACGAAUAUGACGGUAACGCUUAGCCCAUAGGAUGCAAAAAAGAAAGGGAGGGAGUGGCGCCCCUUCUACGCAAUGGGCG
rnacentral:misc_RNA from 1 species